UAGGCAGCAGCAGGGAAUAUUGCACAAUGGGCGAAAGCCUGAUGCAGCGACGCCGCGUGCGGGAUGAAGGCCUUCGGGUUGUAAACCGCUUUCAGGAGGGAAGAAAAUGACGGUACCUCCGGAAGAAGCUCCGGCCAACUACGUGCCAGCAGCCGCGGUAAUACGUAGGGAGCGAACGUUGUCCGGAUUUAUUGGGCGUAAAGGGCUCGUAGGCGGUUCAACAAGUCGGUCGUGAAAGCCCGGGGCUCAACCCCGGGAUGCCGGUCGAAACUGUUGUGACUUGAGUUCGGUAGAGGUGAGUGGAAUUCUCGGUGUAGCGGUGGAAUGCGCAGAUAUCGAGAGGAACACCCGUAGCGAAGGCGGCUCACUGGGCCGAUACUGACGCUGAGGAGCGAAAGCAUGGGGAGCAAACAGGAUUAGAUACCCUGGUAGUCCAUGCCGUAAACGAUGAACACUAGGUGUAGCGGAUUGAUUCAUGUCUGCUGUGCCGAAGCUAACGCAUUAAGUGUUCCGCCUGGGGAGUACGGCCGCAAGGCUAAAACUCAAAGGAAUUGACGG
rnacentral:rRNA from 1 species